AUUGAGCAGGACCAGGAGUGAUAAUUCCAGUGUGUGACCCUGGGGAAGGAUUGAGCAGGACCAGGAACCAUAAUUUGGUGUGUGACCCUGGGGACGGAUUGAGCAGGACCAGGAGCCAUGAUUCCGGUGUGUGACCCUGGGGUAGGAUUGAGCAGGACCAGGAGCCAUGGGGGCUGGUACGUACAUAUAAACGAGUGAAGAGAGCAGAAUGGUGGUUUGAAAACACUAGUAGACACAGAGCACAUAGUUUUGAUUUGUUUUGUUAUUAGUGAACAUAAAAUGACAUGGAAAUUUUACAUUGCUGGCACACUGGCAUUUUAAGUAAUUAAUUAGAUAAAAGCAUUUUUAAAAAAUAUAUAUACACAGAUAAAAGGACUGGAAAGGUGUACACAAAAAUUCACAGAGAUUCUCUCUGCCUUUCUGGUUACCUGUGAUUUUUAUUUUCUUCUUUUCACUAAUCUCUAUGUCCUAAAUUUCCUACAAUGUGUAGGGAUGACCUUGGUAACAGGAAAACAAUUAUAUUUUUUUAAAAAAC
rnacentral:lncRNA from 1 species